rnacentral:rRNA from 1 species
UACGGAGGGAGCUAGCGUUAUUCGGAAUUACUGGGCGUAAAGCGCACGUAGGCGGCUUUGUAAGUAAGAGGUGAAAGCCUGGAGCUCAACUCCAGAAUUGCCUUUUAGACUGCAUCGCUUGAAUCAUGGAGAGGUGAGUGGAAUUCCGAGUGUAGAGGUGAAAUUCGUAGAUAUUCGGAAGAACACCAGUGGCGAAGGCGGCUCACCUGGACAUGUAUUGACGCUGAGGUGCGAAAAGCGUGGGGAGCAAACAGG